UACGUAGGGGGCAAGCGUUGUCCGGAUUUAUUGGGCGUAAAGAGCGUGUAGGCGGCCAGGUAGGUCAGCUGUGAAAACUCGAGGCUCAACCUCGAGACGCCGGUUGAAACCAUCUGGCUAGAGUCCGGAAGAGGAGAGUGGAAUUCCUGGUGUAGCGGUGAAAUGCGCAGAUAUCAGGAGGAACACCUAUUGCGAAGGCAGCUCGCUGGGACGUAACUGACGCUGAGACGCGAAAGCGUGGGGAGCAAACAGG
rnacentral:rRNA from 1 species